rnacentral:tRNA from 1 species
GCCCGGAUGGCGAAACUGGUAGACGCUGCGGACUUAAAAUCCGUUGCCGAAAGGCGUGCCGGUUCGAGUCCGGCUCCGGGCA